rnacentral:rRNA from 1 species
GUUGUAUAGUCAAGUAAUUAAGUGCAUGUGGUGGAUGCCUUGGCAGUCAGAGGCGAAGAAAGACGUGAUAGCCUGCGAAAAGCUCCGGGGAGGCGGCAAAUAUCCUUUGAUCCGGAGAUGUCUGAAUGGGGGAACCCACCUACCUUAAGGUAGGUAUUGCAACAUGAAUACAUAGUGUUGCAAGGCGAACGAGGGGAAGUGAAACAUCUCAGUACCCUUAGGAAAAGAAAUCAAUUGAGAUUCCCUCAGUAGCGGCGAGCGAAAGGGGAAAAGCCCAUUAAGUUAUGUGUGUUUUAGUGGAAUGCUCUGGGAAGUGCAACCAUAGUGGGUGAUAGUCCUGUACACGAAAGGGCACACAUAAUGAUGACGAGUAGGGCGAGGCACGUGAAACCUUGUCUGAAUAUGGGGGGACCAUCCUCCAAGGCUAAAUACUCCUGACUGACCGAUAGUGAACCAGUACCGUGAGGGAAAGGCGAAAAGAACCCCUGUGAGGGGAGUGAAAUAGAUCCUGAAACCGCAUGCAUACAAGCAGUGGGAGCCGACUUGUUCGGUGACUGCGUACCUUUUGUAUAAUGGGUCAGCGACUUAUAUUCAGUAGCGAGGUUAACCGAAUAGGGGAGCCGUAGAGAAAUCGAGUCUUAAUAGGGCGUAUAGUUGCUGGGUAUAGACCCGAAACCGGGUGAUCUAUCCAUGAGCAGGUUGAAGGUUGGGUAACACUAACUGGAGGACCGAACCCACUGUCGUUGAAAAGCCAGGGGAUGACUUGUGGAUAGGGGUGAAAGGCUAAUCAAACUCGGUGAUAGCUGGUUCUCCCCGAAAGCUAUUUAGGUAGCGCCUCGGACGAAUACCAUUGGGGGUAGAGCACUGUUUCGGCUAGGGGGUCAUCCCGACUUACCAAACCGAUGCAAACUCCGAAUACCAAUGAGUACUAUCCGGGAGACAGACUGCGGGUGCUAACGUCCGUAGUCAAGAGGAAAACAAUCCAGACCGCCAGCUAAGGCCCCAAAAUCAUAGUUAAGUGGGAAACGAUGUGGGAAGGCAUAGACAGCUAGGAGGUUGGCUUAGAAGCAGCCACCCUUUAAAGAAAGCGUAAUAGCUCACUAGUCGAGUCGGCCUGCGCGGAAGAUGUAACGGGGCUAAAACUAUGUGCCGAAGCUGCGGAUGCAUAAUUUAUUAUGCGUGGUAGGGGAGCGUUCUGUAAGCCGAAGAAGGUGUAUUGAGAAGUAUGCUGGAGGUAUCAGAAGUGCGAAUGCUGACGUGAGUAACGACAAAACGGGUGAAAAACCCGUUCGCUGAAAGACCAAGGGUUCCAGUCCAACGUUAAUCGGGGCUGGGUGAGUCGACCCCUAAGGCGAGGCCGAGAGGCGUAGUCGAUGGGAAAUUGGUUAAUAUUCCAAUACUUCAGUGUAAUGCGAUGAGAGGACGGAGAAGGUUAAGUCAGCCUGGCGUUGGUAGUCCAGGUGAAAGGAAGUAGGCAUGCAUCUUAGGCAAAUCCGGGGUGCUCUAUGCUGAGAUCUGAUAGCAAGCUGUACUUGUACAGUGAAGUGGCUGAUACCCUGCUUCCAGGAAAAGUCUCUAAGCUUCAGUUACACUGGAAUCGUACCCGAAACCGACACAGGUGGUCAGGUCGAGUAGACCAAAGCGCUUGAGAGAACUCUGCUGAAGGAACUAGGCAAAAUGGUACCGUAACUUCGGGAGAAGGUACGCUGUUGACGGUGAUGGGACUUGCUCCCUGAGCGGUUGACAGCCUCAGAAACCAGGCCGCUGCAACUGUUUAUUAAAAACAUAGCACUCUGCAAACACGAAAGUGGACGUAUAGGGUGUGAUGCCUGCCCGGUGCUGGAAGGUUAAUUGAUGGGGUUAGCGUAAGCGAAGCUCUUGAUCGAAGCCCCAGUAAACGGCGGCCGUAACUAUAACGGUCCUAAGGUAGCGAAAUUCCUUGUCGGGUAAGUUCCGACCUGCACGAAUGGCAUAAUGAUGGCGGCGCUGUCUCCAGCAGAGGCUCAGUGAAAUCGAAUUCGCCGUGAAGAUGCGGUGUACCC